ACUCCUACGGGAGGCAGCAGUGGGGAAUAUUGCACAAUGGGCGCAAGCCUGAUGCAGCCAUGCCGCGUGUGUGAAGAAGGCCUUCGGGUUGUAAAGCACUUUCAGCGGGGAGGAAGGCAAUGCGGUUAAUAACCGUGUUGAUUGACGUUACCCGCAGAAGAAGCACCGGCUAACUCCGUGCCAGCAGCCGCGGUAAUACGGAGGGUGCAAGCGUUAAUCGGAAUUACUGGGCGUAAAGCGCACGCAGGCGGUCUGUCAAGUCGGAUGUGAAAUCCCCGGGCUCAACCUGGGAACUGCAUUCGAAACUGGCAGGCUUGAGUCUUGUAGAGGGGGGUAGAAUUCCAGGUGUAGCGGUGAAAUGCGUAGAGAUCUGGGGGAAUACCGGUGGCGAAGGCGGCCCCCUGGACAAAGACUGACGCUCAGGUGCGAAAGCGUGGGGAGCAAACAGGAUUAGAAACCCGGGUAGUCCCAUGA
rnacentral:rRNA from 1 species